rnacentral:rRNA from 1 species
CCUACGGGAGGCAGCAGUGGGGAAUAUUGCACAAUGGGGGAAACCCUGAUACAGCGACGCCGCGUGAGCGAAGAAGUAUUUCGGGAUGUAAAGCUCUAUCAGCAGGGAAGAAAAUGACGGUACCUGAGUAAGAAGCUCCGGCUAAAUACGUGCCAGCAGCCGCGGGAAUACGUAUGGAGCAAGCGUUAUCCGGAUUUACUGGGCGGAAAGGGAGCGUAGGCGGCCUGCCAAGUCUGAUGGGAAAUACCGGGGCUCAACCCCGGGGCUGAAUGGGAAACUGGCAGGCUGGAGUGCCGGAGAGGCAGGCGGCAUUCCUCGUGUAGCGGUGAAUUGCGUCGAUAUUAGGAGGAUCACCAGUGGCGACGGCGGCCUGCUGGACGGUGACUGACGCUGAGGCUCGAAAGCGUGGGGAGCAAACAGGAUUAGCUACCCCUGUAGUC